CUGUAUUGACUUAACUACUGUAGUGCAAUGCCAUUGCUACCCCUUUCUUGAAAACAGUUUUGAUGAAUGCACAUGGAAAUAAGAAUCCAAGGAGGCAGCCAGUGUUAACAUUGACAUCUCCCAGCUUAAAAGAAAAAGGUGUGGGGCUGAAGUGAAAAAUUUCCAGCAAAGAUCUGAUGUGUAUAACACAUAGAGAGCCCUGAGGCAGGGGGAUUACAAGGGGGUUAAAAUCACUGUUUUUUCCACUGCUGUAGGAGAGUCCUGGAAUUUACCAGGGUACUCACGCAACAUGAGGACCUCUGUAGAGAAACACAUGCUUACCGUGGUAAUUUAGAGUGACUUGAGAAAAUUGGUCUGACAGUGAAAAGGGCUUUUAUUUUCUACAAAGUUGAGGGUGAACUGCUAUAGUAUUUAGCUCCUGCUUUUAUCAAAAUUAAAGUGGACUUCUAAAAGCCAAAACAAAGGAGUGGAGUCUGUUUUGUAACAUUUUUGUGUGUCACUUUUCCUGGUGUGGGUAAGGGAGAAGAAGCUGUUUUGUACUGGAAGUUUCUGCUCUGUAGUCAAAGAAGGGUGUUCACAAGAUACAGAUGUUUGCUGUGUCUGGGAUUUUUUUGCCCAUCUCUGCUGGGGAAAUUAAAAAAAAAAAAAAAGAGUUAAAAAAAUUAGUACUUUCUAAGUCUAAAUGAUUUACACUUCUGAUUUGCUUUUAGUCAACUCCUUGAUUGACAGAAUCUCUGACCAUCUAUAAUUUUAAUACUUGUGUUUUUAAUUGGACAAUACAUUCCUCAUAACUUUUCCUUGCUUCCUCUUAAUGACUGACCCUGUUCAUUGAGAAAAGAGUUAAUAGCCUUUAAUGGCUUAAAUUUUGUGAACAACCAUGUCCAUGAGAAGCCCCGUACACAAACAGUCCUGGUAAAUUCAGCAGGGUUCUUCAUGUACUAAAAUUGCUCAUACAAGUAAGUGUUUGAGAGCAAACAGUCAGUAUUCCUCUCCCACAUUCCUUCUAUUCCUCCAUGAAAGAAAGCCAGCAUAUGACUAUCAGAAGCCAUUUUUAAUCUACUGUGUUCCAAAUAAGGAUUUAAUCUAAACUAAACAACUGGUUUGAAUAUUUGCUGUAACUAUUAAUUAUUGAAAAAGUUUUGAAUUUUUCUAUGGAUUCCUAGCUUUUAGUCCUUCAUUUGAAUCAUCUGUAGUGUUCCUACUUAGGGCGUUCAUUAGGUAUUUAAUGUUUAAAGUAUCUAUUUAUUACAAUUUUAAAACCUCUAGUUAGCUGCAUUUUACUUAAAGUGAAUUUAUUACUCUAAAGAGGUUCUGGAAUGAGUGUUUUAUCAAGGAAGCAUAAAUAGUUCAAACUUUUGCCCUUCUAACAAAGCACUGCAUAUUUGCUUAAUUAUAAACGCAUAUUCAGAACACAUACAAUAGGCUGUAGUAUAUUUAUCAAAGACAAACUGCCUGUAUAAAGCUAUCAUUUUUGUCUGAAAUGAGGUUACUUCAAAAUUCACAAUUUGCACUGCAGGCACUGAUGUUAUCCAAUUACACUUUUUAUUAAUUUUAUUAUAAUUGGUGCAUUCUUGAUACAGCUGUUUCACAGAUACAUGUUUUAAUAAAUUGAUUAAACCACCUAUUUUUCUGAAGCAGUUAGUAAAACUGACCACAACAGACCUGUGAGUUUCUGGAAACAAGUCUGCAAAUUUUCCCAUAGUGUUUCUUGGGGGGUUGGGAUUUCGCUUUUUCCCUACCUGCUGCAUUGUCCUUGAUCCUAAUGGUAAAAUGAAAAUAACUGCAUUUAAUUUAGGCUGCUUGUGAGUCAACUGUGUAUCUGAUCUACAGGUGCUGAGACAGUUAACCGGUUCACCCUGUAAUUAGGUCUCUGCAGCACCUUCUCCAUACAUAAAUGGGCAGACGGAUCCCUGGUUGUUUUCUUGUGGUCACCAAUGCAACUGAGGGACCCAUCUGAGUGACAGCCAAGGUUAACUGUCUGGACAGCUGUGAGUCAAGCCUUCAAGACACGCUGCUUUAUCUGAUUGGUCUCAGUCUUGAUCUGGCACAUGAAAGGAAAUGUGAGGAAGUUUCAAGCAGAGAUCAUUUUGCAAGUCCAAAGAUGAGGGUCUUCGCUUCAUCUCUAGAGGAAAUCCAUGCAGGAAAAAUCCACCAAGGGAUAUUUAACAGAAAGAUAACAUCUGACUUGAAGUCCCUGAGCCAGAAAUUGCUGGAAGCUGGGAAAGGACACCUGGGAAAGUAUCACUUACUCUCCUGUUACAGUCCUCUACAUUUAUCUUCUAUCACACAGAGUAAUUUGGAUUAACCUAGCAGGGCUGUUCUUUCAUGCACUCAGAUUUAUAUAGAUUCAUUGAU